rnacentral:rRNA from 13 species
CAGGCGGGCAGUUUGACUGGGGCGGUCGCCUCCCAAAGAGUAACGGAGGCGCGCGAAGGUUGGCUCAGAGCGGUCGGAAAUCGCUCGUUGAGUGCAAUGGCAUAAGCCUGCCUGACUGCGAGACGGACAUGUCGAGCAGAGACGAAAGUCGGUCAUAGUGAUCCGGUGGUCCCGCAUGGAAGGGCCAUCGCUCAACGGAUAAAAGGUACGCCGGGGAUAACAGGCUGAUGAUGCCCAAGAGUCCAUAUCGACGGCAUUGUUUGGCACCUCGAUGUCGGCUCAUCGCAUCCUGGGGCUGGAGCAGGUCCCAAGGGUUUGGCUGUUCGCCAAUUAAAGCGGUACGUGAGCUGGGUUUAGAACGUCGUGAGACAGUUCGGUCCCUAUCUGCCGUGGGCGUUGGAAAUUUGAAGGGGGCUGCUCCUAGUACGAGAGGACCGGAGUGGACG